UACGGGAGGCAGCAGUGAGGAAUAUUGGUGCAAUGGGCGCAAGUCCUGUAACCAGCACAUGUCCGCGUGCAGGAAGAAAUGCCCUAUGGGUUGUAAACUGCUUUUAUUUGGGAAUAAACCUUUCUACGUGUAGGAAGCUGAAGGUACCAAAUGAAUAAGCACCGGCUAACUCCGUGCCAGCAGCCGCGGUAAUA
rnacentral:rRNA from 1 species